rnacentral:tRNA from 2 species
UGCAUCCAGUGGGGUUUGAACCCACGACGUCCUUUUGGGAAGCGGAUUAUGAGCCCGCUGCUUUCGACCACUCAGCCACAGAUGC